GGGUGCGAUCAUACCAGCACUAAUGCACCGGAUCCCAUCAGAACUCCGAAGUUAAACGUGCUUGGGCGAGAGUAGUACUAAGAUGGGUGACCUCUUGUGAAGUCCUCGUGUUGCACCCC
rfam:Ricinus communis cultivar Hale ctg_1100012298794, whole genome shotgun sequence.